rnacentral:lncRNA from 1 species
UUUUGGGGAGAGGUACCUGCAAACAGACUUUGUGCCUCUUGCAGGGUGAGAUGUCAUCAAGGGAGGACACGCCAGAGCCGGGCACCUCUGCUGCCAGCACCAGCCAGGCUGCCCCAGCCGCGCUGCAGGAGAACAGCCGGGACGACCCUGCGUGCCCAGAGUGCCGGGACAUUAGCACCGCGUGCUCCAGCUCAUGUCGGCACUGCUUCUGCCGGCUGUGCCUGUGGGACUGGAGCCUGGACGAGGCUGUGUGCCCACGGUGCCAGCGGCCCACACGCCACCCCUACCCCCAGCACGUGGCCCUGUACCACGAGGUGCAGGAGCGGGUCUACGAGAGGAAGCAGAGAUGGCGCUGCCGCUCGGCGUGGCAGCCACGCAGCUGCUCCGGACCCUCGGAGAGGAGGCCAAGGAGAUCCAUGAGGUGGCCCCGCGAUGGCCGCCGGGAGUCUCGGCACACCCAAGGCAGCGACUCCCCGAGGAGGAGGCAGUGGCAGCAGCAGAGGAGAGAGGAUGCACCCGAAGAGGGACAAACUCUGAGGUUUGAAUGGGACAUCCCAGCCUCCUCGCAGGGACAUCGAUCCCGGCGCAGGACCCGCAGGUCAUGGAGCCAGCAGGCACAGUCGCGGGGCCACCGCAGGGGCAGGGAACGUUUCCGUGGCUGGGACAGGCGCUCCAGGAGAGAGCAGGACACCCAGACAGGCUCCCUCGAGCACUCCGCAAGGCAGCGGCGCUGGAGGAGCUGGAAUGCUGAUGACAGACAGACUCCAGGGCCCCAGCACCAUGUCCCCUCAGAGAGGAGUGAGACACACCAGUGGGAAGACUCUGAUGCCUCCGGGCAACGGCACACAAGAAGGAGGCAAAGCUGGGGCAGAUCCCACAGCAGAGACCAGAACUCCCAGGCGGGAUCUCAGGGAAUGGUGCCCCACGAGCGCUCCACAAGACAGAGGCGCUGGAGGAGCUGGAAUGCUGGUGACAGACACACUCAAAGGCCCCAGCGUGACACCCCUGAG